rnacentral:lncRNA from 1 species
UUUAUAUUUUUUGAUAUAAAGUUAGUCAAACCUUACAAAGCUUGACUUUGACCAAACCUUAUAUGCAGACUAAAAAGAAACGGAGGGAGUAUAUUAAUUUUAUAUCAGAAUCAUUGCAUCGAUACAUACACAUUCAGGACAUAGGAAUUGGUUCACGAAACAACAAAAGGCUUCAGUCCAAAAUCAAGCUAUACAUAGACCAAAAGGCUUUAGUCCAAAAGCAAGCCAAGACUAUCCAUUGUAAUAUAACAAAUACAAUAACCAGGUCAUGGCAUGUGUUGAUCAAGCAAGAUGCAAUGCGAGAUAAUAAAACUUCUUAGUUAGGUUAUUAUAGCCUAAUACUUGAUAGCUCGACCGGGUUGUCUCCUUGAUUAAAUCGUUACACGUCACGACCUUUGCGCUUUAGUGCCUCUCCGAAGAAAGUCACAGAAUACCUCAUGUUCGCGCCCUUGACUCUGCCUUCUCAACACGAAAGAAAUGACGGAAGCACUUGUCGUGGCUAGUUACCGUGAAGGAAGAAUGGUGUUGCGGGGUGACCAGUCCGUCGCCGCCGCCGCUUGCCUGGUAUGACUCAUGAGAUAGGAUACAUGAAUUAAGCCACAAUCAACAUCAUUGUUUUGUUUUCAAAUUCAGGGGCAGCAAGCAAAGCAAUAUUAAUUCUCUCCGAGAUGGACAUGUUCUCAUGUUCUAUCUAUUAGUAUAGUUAUCCAAGGAAAUCCUAGGAAUAACAGAUGGACAUGGAUAAUUUAAUAAACAACAAUGAACAAUGAAUUUAUGAACAAAGUGGAGCAGUAUUACUGAGCAAUAAAUUUCUUGAAAAACCAAAGUGAAGGUACUGAGAGAGAACUCUAACAUCACAGUAAGCCAAAACUGCUUGAACUGAACAUAUUUAAUUAACUAAAAAAAUGUAAAGGCAUGUCUGAUCCUACUACUAUCCAAUUGAGGAACUGACACUAUUUCCCUAGUCCCCACAGCAAACACAACACCCACAUCCAAUUCUGGAAGAUUCAUUUUAAUUAUUUUUCAUGCUUUAUCCCUUAAAUAUACUAAAAAGAUGAGAACUGGAGAAGUCCCUGCUCCAUCAGUCAGGAUCUCAAGUUCUUUUUGUUGCUGUCGGGAUCCUAAGUUAGGUAGUAGUACUUGUGUACCAUCCAAUUGGCUCGCUCAGCUUGAAUAAUCAAUAUUUGUUUAAAGGUUUUGCUAUAUACUGCUCGACUAAAAUAUCGAUCGGUGGUGUUCAUACAGGUUUUGUUUUUCGUUCAUAAAUGGUUAAGAAAGAAAGUGACAUAUGUGGCUAAUCAUAUCCUUGGUAUUUUUUUUAAAUCACCUGGGAGACAUAUAUCAAAUUUGAUUUAUACUUACUAUUUUCAUAGAUCAACGUGGAUGUGAGACCAUCUUCUUCAAGCUCUGAAAGCUGUCUCCUGCAGGGCUCCUUCCUCGUCAUCACUUUGCGGGUGCCCUCCAUUCUUUUCAUCACCAGCUUCAUUUUUCAACCUCAUCCCCUCUUCCCAAAUAUGAAGAAAAAUGCCCGCAAUGCUAGCGCAACCUGCGCAGAAUCAACUGAAAUGUAUGAGCAAGAUACAGCACACCCAAGUUUUAGUAAGCUAAGAAUGAAAUAAUGUAUGUUUUGUCAAGCUAGCAAAAAUAGUAAAUCAUUCCAGCUAGUGUUUUUAUUUCCAUUCAUGAGUAGUUGACACCAAGUUAUCUUUUCUCUUUCUUGGUGUGAGACUGCACCUACAUAUUCAAUUUUCUGUCGAGCUCAUGUAGGAAUCUGAGUAUGUAGGUAACUAACACCAAGACUAUCUUUUCUCUUUCUUUGUUUGAGACAGCACCUACAUAUGGGCCGCUGCCUUAAUGUUUGGUCAAGUGAUGUACACACUAAAUUUGUUUGCUGAAGCCACUACCGAAGCUCACUAUUUGAUAAUAUGAACAGAAAGAAUCAUAUAGUUCAAAUUAUGUUUCGACUGGAUUAGGAAGCAGAGGAAUAUAUCAUAUUGAGGGAAUGUAAAAGCAUUACUUGCACGAUGGAAGCGAUGAAGAAAUACUUGCUAGUGUUUGCAAAACCAGUUCAACUUCGCUGCCAUCUAUUUUCACUUAUCCAGAGACAGAACCAAGCACCCAGAGUUGUUCUGCAUCAAAGGAAAUAAAUGACAUAGUGAUACAGGUAUCCCCUUGACCCAGUACUUCGACGAAAAGCAUACAAAUGUGGAUAGUAAUCUGACACUGAAAAAAUUCAUAGAAAUUAAGCAGGUAAAGAAUAAUAUGGGAAACCAAACAUAAUCUUUACUUGUGUUUUCUAUAAAAAUGGCUAAAAAUUCAUAGCAAUUAACAGUGAGGGAUACACUAAUGAGGGAACUCUUAAAAUGAAUAAAUCACCUCACAUAAUCUUUACUUGUGUGUUUCUAUAAAAAAACAAUCUGUACUUAUUAGUUAAAGGCCUUCACAAUAUAGUCCAUUUCAUGUUGAGCUCCUAUCCCUUCCCAUCUACACUGAUGAUAGCAGAAAUAUUUAAAAUUAGCAAAAAAAUUAAAACUAAUAAGUUUUGUCUAGGACAGAAAGGAUUGAUAGCACAAAUAUUUUAAACCGGCAAAUUAAACUCAUUAUAUAAUGCGCAGACCUGAGCUAGGGACUAAAAUGAAUAUAUUUUCAUAAAAGGGUUACUAUCACCUACACUGUACAGAGGAAGAACUAAUUAAGGACAUAUAUUUUGGCCCCUAACAUUAAAAAAUCAAGGAAUGCACAUCAAGGAUAUUCUGAUUUACAUGGAAUAUUAUAAAACAUAUAAGUCGUAACAAAUUAUAGCAAGAACACAAUCUGUAGUUACGCAUCAAGAUGGUAUAGCUUGCAAUAAACUCCCAAAUAACUGGUUUAUGGAAAAAGAUUAAACGACACCAGGUUUACAUCAUCAAGUUACAUGAACUAAUGAUCAGGGGGAAAUGGCAUGCAUUUCAAAUAAAUAAAUUCAAUUUCCACCGUUGUCUUGAUAGAAUUUGAGCAAAUCAUAGUGUAAGAAUUAUAAAAGCAAGAUGAACUGAUCAAUCAACGGAACAGGACAUACCUUGUUUACCGGUGGCGCCAUGGACCCAAAAGCUUGUGCGCUUGUCGCCGGAGUAGCGGAGAAAAGCUUCCUCCGUGUGAGUGAAUCCAUCACACGUCGAGAGACCAUGCCGUCAUGAAAAUAAGAUGACAACGCUGCAUCAAAUUGAUAGAUACACAUCAGAUCAGCAAGAUGGGUACGAUGGCGAAAGAAGAGAAAAGAAAGGAGCCAACUACCAACACAGUACAUGUCACGCCCAAUAUGCGACCCUAUCCAAAAGGAACUCGAAGGUCCCACCAAGGAUAGACCCGCAUAUUGAAACGCUUUUGCAAAGUGGAUAUCAUUACAUCAACAUUACAUAAUAGAUAGGGAUACAUACAAAAGGCAUACAAUGCCACACGAAUACAGCAUCACAAUACAUAAGAGCAUCAUCCGACUACGGAUGAAACACAAACAGAAACUCAAACGACAUCCACCCUGCUAGCCCAGGCUGCCGACCUGGAACCUAUCCCCUGAUCGAAGAAGGAGCAGAAGAAGAACUCCAAAACAAGCAAACAUCGCUCUCGCGUCAUGAUCAUCGCAUAACCUGUACCUGCAACUGUUGUUGUACUAAUCUGUGAGCCACGAGGACUCAGCAAUCCCAUUACCAUGGAUAUCAAGACUAGCAAAGCUUAACGGGAAAGGAAGGGGUAAAGUGGUGAGGUUGCAGCACCGACUAAGCAUAUGUGGUGGCUAACAUACGCAAAUAAGAGCGAGAAGAGAGCAAGCGGAACGUUCGUGAAACUAGCAAUGAUCAAGAGGUGAUCCUGAACACCUACUUACGUCAAACAUAACCCAAAAACCGUGUUCACUUCCCGGACUCCGCCGAGAAGAGACCAUCACGGCUACACACGCGGUUGAUGCGUUUUAAUUCGGAUCUGGUUUCAAGUUAUCUACAACCGGACAUUAACAAAUUCCCAUCUGUCACAUAACCAUGGGCACGGCUUUCGAAAGUUUAUACCCUGCAGGGGGUAUCCCAACUUAGCCCAUGAUAAGCUCUCGCGAUCAACGAAGGAUAUACCUUCUCCCAGGAAGACCCGAUCAGACUCGGAAUCUCGGUUACAAGACAUUUUGACAAUGGUAAAACAAGACCAGCAAGACCUCCCGCUGUGCCGACAAAUCCCGAUAGGAGCUGCACAUAUCUCGUUCUCAGGGCACACCGGAUAAGCUAAGCGUACAGGUACCGACGUAAUCCAAGUUGCCAAGGAAUGGUCCCGCACGAUGCUCUAGUUUGGACCAACACUCGGAGGAGCACUGGCCCGGUGGGGUAAAAUAAAGAUGACCCUCGGGCUUUGGAAAUCCAAGGGAAAAAGGGCUAGGUGAGGCAAAUGGUAAAACCAAGGUUGAGCCUUGCUGGAGGAGUUUUAUUCAAAGCGAACUGUCAAGGGGGUCCCGUAAAUCACCCAACCGCGUAAGGAACGCAAAAUCCGGGAACAUAACACCGGUAUGACGGAAACUAGGGCGGCAAGAGUGGAACAAAACACCAGGCAUAAGGCCGAGUCUUCCACCCUUUACCAAGUAUAUAGAUGCAUUAAUAAUAUAAGAAAUAUUGUGAUAUCCCAACAUAAUCGUGUCCACCAUGGAGCAAUCUUCAACUUCACCUGCAACUAACAACGCUAUAAAAGGGGCUGAGUAAAGCGGUAACAUAGCCAAGCAACGGUUUGCUAGGAAGGGUAGUUUUCGGACGCGCGAGAGGGGGUCUUUACUGUGCAAAGAGGGGUCAAACGGUCGGGCAACAAAAGAAUGGUUGGUCUAAGAAAGGUCAGCGGACGCAACGGAGAGAAGCGAGAAGCGGCAACUACGAGCGGAUGCAAGUUUUAAGAAAACAAAGCAGAUGCAAAGCGCAUGAUGCCAAGAUGAAAUGCAACAACAACACCAAUAAAACACACGGCAGUCACGCAAAACAUGGAAGGCAUCUGGAGCGCCGGUCUUGGGGCGUUACAACACUCCACCACUACGAGAGGAUCUCGUCCCGAGAUCUAGGAUGGCACCGGAGAGAAACGAAAGAGGAAGAGAAGAGGUAAACUAUGUUGCUUCUUCGACAAAUGAGUGAAACCAAAGAACUUUGAGAGGUUGAAAAGUGGAGAGAAAGAACACAACGGAGUUGAACACAAUCGAUAGCACUGCGGUAGAAAAUAGAAACAAGGAACACCAUGUGUACCUUGGAGGUUGCAAAGCUAUGAAUGAAGAGUACAAUGGACAAGAAAGAAUUGAGACCACUCUGGUUGAAACGAGAUAAACAAGGAACAAGAAAUAUCAAAUUCGGACAGCACUCCAGUUAAAAUUGGAAGGAUAGAAUAUGAACUUGGCAAAAUGAAAGCACUUGGAUGAGACUCCGGUUAAAAGAGGAAUGAUCGACACAACACUCCGGUUAAAUGGAUAAGCAAUAAAAGAACACGAUCCUCACAAUCCAAGAUGAUGAGUGAAGGGAGCAACGUCACCAUGCCUCCGGAAGAACGAAAAGAAGAUAGAUCAUUGGGAUAAAAGAACGGAGAAGAAAAUGCCAACUUCUGCCACAAAUGAGCUUGGAAAACACCCUUCCAAGAAGGUUACAACGGGGUUGUUGGAAAAUCCACAACGAAACGAAUAGGCUUGUAGUGGGCUUAUGAAAAACAUCUCAAGACUAUGAGGUGACAUUCUGCCACUAACGAAAACAAUUGCUUGCUUUGAGAUCAACGAAGAGAUGAAAACUUCUUCCACCAAGAGGAUAAAGAGCAAGCUUGGGUCAUGCAUAAUCACCACAAAUAGCAACAACCCUUAAGGAAAGGCUUUAGGUGAAGUCUGACACAAGAUAACUCCAACGAAGAAGUUGAUUGGUCAAAAAGAUCUCUUGAACAAAGAGAAAAUGAUGGAUUUAAAUAUCUCAUUCCGGACAACCUGUGAAUCAUGAAACACGAGGAGAAAUUGCCAAGAGUGACAUAACACCAUCUCAAGAGAUAAGGUAGAAAGAAUUGCACUUGGGAAUGCAAGAAGAAGAAUACUUGAGCUCCUCAAAACAAAAAGUGUGUUGAACACCAUGUUUAUUUUAGAGUACAGCUUGGCGGGUCAUAACUUCGAGAGAAAUCUUGAAGAACAAUUGAAGAAUGAAGAGAAUCCUUGACAAACCACCAUGUAGAGCCUCCAUGAAGAACUCCGGUAAUAAAAAGGAUGAUAGAAAGAAAGGGAAGUUGAAAACACAAGGUGAAGCCUUGCAAUGAUUUAGAUGGAGCUUCGCGACGAUAAUGCGGAAAAUUUGGAACUCCGGAAAAGAAAAGAUGAAGCAUCUCGAACCGAGAAAUGUGACAUGAUGAAUAACUCUGGAAAGAAGAAACAAGAUCACUUGGAUGAAACAAUAAUAAGAAUUACGUUAUGCGUAUCCUUCACCAAUUUAAAUUGAUGACAAGCAACAGAUUUGUCAUACUACUUGUUCUUCUUGAGGGAUUAAGGAUAGAGAUAGCGCAAACUUGAGAAGGUAUUGGUGGAACCACCGGUGGGAUUUGAAAACAAUGAAUGAAUUGAUAGCAAGGAAGAGGAAUCUCGAACGAACCACCGUAAGAAUUGAAAAUGAAAGUAGCAAAGGCAUAAUUCAACGGAAAGAAUUGGAAAACGAAUUAAGAUACUUGAGGGAUUUAGAUACAUGGGAACAAAGAGAACAUGAACUGAUUAGAGGAUAUUUGAACGAUUCACUGGUAAGAUUUGAAGAACGGUAGCUACACGCUGAGAAUGAAGAAUUAUGACAUGAUGGCCUUCGUAGGAAUAAAAUGGAAAGAACUCACGUAAUGCUUCGGAUGGGUGAAAAGAAUUGUCACAACCAAAACAAUUAUGAGGAUAGCAUCAAGCUUGAACUACGAAUAUUCAAGAGAAUGGACCAAGAUUUAGAGGAAAAACUCUUCUUCGGUCUUUAAAUGACGAAGGAAAACACCACGAAAAUUACUGAGAUACUCCGGUAGAAUGGAAAGGAAAGAGGUUGAGCCAACAAUGAAAUGAUUUGAAAGCGAUCUUGGAGAAGGCAUGUGACUAAUGAAAUUCAUUCUUACGUCACACUUGAAAAUAAUUUGAGAAUAACUCCGGAAGAAUUAGAAGAGUCAGGUAAGAUCCUGGAAAAAGACCUGUGGGUUAGGGCCCACUCAAAAGAUACACCAUUGAACGAUUGAUUGAUACGGGUGAUUGCACCGGUUGAAUUAAAUGACUUGAAUGAGAUAACAAUCUCCAAAUAGCUUGAACAGAUUAAGAAUGGAAACACAAGUCUUCCGAGAUAUCUUCAACACUCCGGAUAUGAACUGGGAGAGGUGAAUAAAUAAGGGAGCCUUGGAUAAGAAAUUCACAUGGGAAGAUAUGUGAAACAAAAGGAAGAGAUAUGAUCAACACCGAAGCUUGAAAUUAAUCCAUCGGAGAAGAAAAGAGAACGAAGAAUAAUAAACUUGAAGCUCCGUUAGUAUCUUUCUGAGAAUCACCGGAUAAGAACAUUGACGGGAAAAGAAUGGAGAAUCUUCCCAUCCAUAAGAUGGAUACUUGAUUAAGAUAUUUGAGUCCUUGAAGAAAAAGGGUGGGAGGACGGGAAAACAAAGGCAACUUGGGGAAGAUGGAACAAACACCGUUGAAAAAAAACUUAGAAUUGAUCUUGCGGAUGUUGAAAAUGAACGGAUCCACUUGAAGAAAAGCACACCGGUUGGAAAGAAUUGACAUGACAAUCUCGAUGAUCAAAAGGAUUAGCACACCCAUAGAAAUAUGAGAACACCGCUUGAAAGGUAUGAAAUCAACACUUGACAUUGAAGCAACUCAAAUACCGCAACUCAAAACAAAACAAAUGAUUGGCUUGCAGAAAUAAGCCGGAACAAAUACAUAUGAUAGAGAUUUACCCAAUCCCAUAUCAUGCAUCUAUCGAAAAGAUAUUCUAGGGGCUACUUGAAUUCCCACCUAUAAACUCCUGAAACUUUCUGGUUAUGCAAUCUGGUGUUGGGGAUACAGGAGAAGCAAUAUAUAUCUCACCCAAAACUAACAAUCCCUACAUCCAAGCUGUAUCCAUCCGUCAACACAUAACCAAUAAACCUUCGGAAAUCGUGUACCUCAACCUUCGAAAAGCAUCCCUUAUACGAGCUAUGGCAAUACUCCCGAACUCCCGCCCCAGUACUAGGUGGCGUCGAGGUUAUCUCACCAACAACUGCAUAAAAAAGAUUUUCGAUGUCGGCAAAACUCAGGUAUUCCAGAACUGCAACGAUAAAAUUAUGACGACAACACCUCGGAGCUCAACUCCCCGGGUCACUGCCACAUAAAAGACAAGAGGCACCAAGAACAAUGUUCUCGUCACAAAACCAUCAGAACGAUUUCAAGAUACCCGCGUGAUCCCUAAAUUUUUUUUAGUGAAAUUUGAGGAGAGGAAAGUCAAAACAUCUACGUCAGGAGACCUCACCAGAGCGACGAAGGGACUGAGAAGUAAAAAGAAUCCUACUCUCCGAUAUAUAUAAUCCUAAGACUCAAAAAUAGUUUUCUUCUAGACUCAACAACGGCCAACAAUCAAGGGGACAACUAUUGUCGGUCGAGGCUCUGAUACCAACUUGUCACGCCCAAUAUGUGACCCUAUCCAAAAGGAACUCGAAGGUCCCACCAAGGAUAGACCCGCAUAUUAAAACGCUUUUGCAAGGUGAAUAUCAUUACAUCAACAUUACAUAAUAGAUAGGAAUACAUACAAAAGGCAUAUAACGCCACACGAAUACAACAUCACAAUACAUAAGAGCAUCAUCCGACUAUGGAUGAAACACAAACAGAAACUCAAACGACAUCCACCCUGCUAGCCCAGGCUGCCGACCUGGAACCUAUCCCCUGAUCAAAGAAGGAGCAUAAGAACUCCAAAACAAACAAACAUCGCUCUCGCGUCAUGAUCAUCGCAUAACCUGUACCAGCAACUGUUGUUGUAGUAAUCUGUGAGCCACGAGGACUGGUCAACGCGCUCGAAGACCGGAGCGAAGCAGGCAGGGGCUUGGCGCAGCGGCUUCAGACGAAGCAAGGUGCGGCAGCGGUCGCUCGAACCGGACGAAGCAGAGGCGAGGCUGGGCAUGGCGGCGCGGGCUUGGCGAGGCGGCGGAGCCGAGGGCCUUGGGCGACGGCGGCGGACUUGGCGGGGCGAUGGAGGUGGCAGGACUGCAGCGCCACGGCGGAUCCGGGGCAUCGGUGCUCCUACGAACAGCAGCGACGGGCGGAGCACCUCCUGUGCACUUGAAGAAAGAGAGGGAGAGGGAUUUUUCAGAGAGGAUGGAGCAGAACGAAAAAGAAGAAAGAAGAGGGAAGGCGAGGGCGAUGGCCACGCGACCUGGGGCCUGAUGAUGCUCGCCGGCGGUGCGGGAACCGAAGGGCGCCGGCGCAACGUUGAUCUAGGGGAGGCAGGAGCAAGGCAAGCCGACUGCUUGGCCUUGGGACGGCGGAUCGGCGCGGCCCACUGGCGCUGAAGGUGCGCAUGAGCGAGGCCGUCGUCCUCCUGCAUCAAAGCAGAGGAUGCAGGGGAAGCAGAGGCCGGCAGCGAGGGAUGCGGGGUCACGAGGCGGCGGCGCUCAGGCAGACGGGAGGAGCGGGCGACGGGGCUGGUCCUGCUGGCUGGCGAAGAAGGCAGGGAGGAGGCGACCAUGGAUCGAGAGGAGAAGGUGGGCGAUGGGAUCUAGAGGCUGUAGGUGGCGAGCGAUGGUUGAGGAGGGAUGGAUCCCAAGGGGGAUUUGGAAGGUGGCGGCGGGUGAUGGGACAAGGGAGCUAGAUUUUAGGGUUGGACUAGGGGUGGACUAUAUAUAGUGAAAUGAGGGGAAUUUUGGACAUCCGAUUAAAAUCGGACGGUCGAGAAUAAAAUGCUUCGGGAGUCCAAACAAAUAAACAAAGAUAUUUUAGGGACGUUUGGGGAUGAACCGGAUCCAACGGUGGUGACUGAGCAGGUCGGGUUCGGGGUAGUUUUCGGACGCGCGAGAGGGGGUCUGCACUGUGCAAAGAGGGGUCAAACAGUCGGGCAACAAAAGAAUGGUUGGUUUAAGAAAGGUCAACGGACGCAACGGAGAGAAGCGAGAAGCGGCAACUACGAGCGGAUGCAAGUUUUAAGAAAAGAAAGCAAAUGCAAAGCGCAUGAUGCCAGGAUGAAAUGCAACAACAACAUCAAUAAACACACGACGGUCACGCAAAACAUGAAAGGCAUCUGGAGCGCCGGUCUUGAAGCGUUACAGUACAUCAGCAAGAAUACAGGAAAGCUAUAAAUGAGUCAGUAGAAUACAAAGAAUGUAGGAUACCAUACAUUCUUUCUUCUUGCAAGAACCCUUCACUUUGCGAGCACGUUGUUCAGUUGCCUUCAUCUCUUCUUCAGUUGCUAUGUGCUCGAGAAAAAGCAAGGUGGCAAGCUUCAUUAAAGCAUUCAGGUUAACAAUAAACCCGGUCAUCGUGUAAUAUUGAAAGAAUAAAUGGCAGAUUCAUGUGCCUUAGGCUGGUCAUAGUGGGGAGUAACUUAGAAUAGUAACAUGCAUACGUUACUACUCUAUGUUACUACCCUUAUAGUGGGAAGUGUCAUAUGUGUAGUAACAUAACAUGUUCAUUUAUUGUCUUGUAGACUCAUUUGCAUUGGAAAGCGCCAUGUGAUGGUAACAUAUUAGGUUACUCUAUUUGCCUCUCUCAUUAACUACUUGCCACAUCAAUAUUUUUGCUUAUGUGACAUCUAUGUUACUACCUAUGUUACUCGCACUAUGACCAGCCUUAGGAGUUAUGUGCAAGAGAAUAAUUUAGUACCUUAAUCAGACUUGACAAACACUGAAAUCACUCAGGAUAAACACCUGUUGGUCCCUCACAUGCUCUUCUCGGUCAUUAUCUUGUUUUAUGCGCAAGAUUCCUUGGGCCUAAAAAUGCAAAACUUAAAUCAGAAAAUUGAUUCAGGCAUUACAGGUAUACAUAAGGACCAAAGUAUGGUGUCUAACCUUGCCGCCUCCCUAAGCACACAAC